AAGUCGUAACAAGGUUUCCGUAGGUGAACCAGCGGAAGGAUCAUUAUCGAAUUGAAAAAAGAGCUGUUGCUGGCGGGGGCUCCUCGCAUGUGCACGCUUGUUUCUUUCUUACUUCUCCAACUGUGCACAAAUGAUAGACCUUGGUCUAUGUCUUUCACAAUCCCUGAAUGUAAUUUGAAAUCUGGGGAAUAUACAUACAACUUUCAGCAACGGAUCUCUUGGCUCUCGCAUCGAUGAAGAACGCAGCGAAAUGCGAUAAGUAAUGUGAAUUGCAGAAUUCAGUGAAUCAUCGAAUCUUUGAACGCACAUUGCGCUCGCCAGUAUUCUGGCGAGCAUGCCUGUCCGAGCGUCAUUUCAACCAUCAAGCUCUGCUUGCGUUGGGGAUCCGCGGCUGCCCGCGGUCCCUCAAAAACAGUGGCGGGCUCGCUAGUCACACCGAGCGUAGUAACUCUACAUCGCUAUGGUCGUGCGGCGGGCUCUUGCCGUAAAACCCCCCAAUUUCUAAGGUUGACCUCGGAUCAGGUAGGAGUACCCGCUGAACUUAA
rnacentral:rRNA from 1 species